GUAGGUGGCAAGCGUUGUCCGGAAUUAUUGGGCGUAAAGCGCGCGCAGGCGGUUCUUUAAGUCUGAUGUGAAAGCCCACGGCUCAACCGUGGAGGGUCAUUGGAAACUGGAGAACUUGAGUACAGAAGAGGAAAGCGGAAUUCCACGUGUAGCGGUGAAAUGCGUAGAGAUGUGGAGGAACACCAGUGGCGAAGGCGGCUUUCUGGUCUGUAACUGACGCUGAGGCGCGAAAGCGUGGGGAGCAAACAGGGAUUAGAUACCCUGGUAGUCCACGCCGUAAACGAUGAGUGCUAAGUGUUAGGGGGGUUUCCGCCCCCUUAGUGCUGCAGCUAACGCAUUAGGCACUCCGCCUGGGGAGUACGGCCGCAAGGCUG
rnacentral:rRNA from 1 species